UUUUUAACAGUGCAAUGAUAUUGAACCCAAGGCACCGGAAUGAUUGUUGAAGCUGCACGCCGCUGCUAAUCUGCCGUCGGUCUCCUCUGCUCUGGUUCCAGAGUUUGAGAACUGUUUGAAAAAGGAAACUUCCAAGUUCCAAACACUUUAUCAGCAAUUUUGCAAGGAAAAAGCAACCCAUUUGCAGGCGUUGAAAGAUACCAUUUCCAAGUUUGAAGAAGAGAAGUAAAGGCUUUUAAAGUGAUAUGAACAAAUGAGGAAGAAAGAAAAGAGUAUGAUGUCAGACCAUGAGAAAGCUUGCGGAGAUAAGAUUACUCGAUUGGAGGAGUCUCUGAAAAAGGAAAACUCAGGACGACAAAACUUUUAGCAUUUUGAGGAAAACUCUGGGUUCCCUUUUCGAGAAUGCCUCAGAUGAUGAUUUCCCACCUGAUGAUUAAAGCUUUGCUUCAGUGUUGGCAUCACAGAGAAAAGGCAAAACAUUGAAAGAGGGGAAAGGUUGCUGUCUUGGAACUGGCAGUUGAUGUGUACGCUAUUGAGUUUGUAAGAUUCAUCACAUUUAUUAGGUAUUGUUCCUUUUUUUUGUAUCUGUUAUAGUAUGUUGCUUUAUUGGUAAGUUAAAAUCUUCAUAAUUUUGUUAUGUUAUGACACGAGUGUUAAUCUUAGUACUCACAUUCACAAUGUAAAUCACCAAUGCCUUUUUUUUUUAAGAAAAAAAACAUUUAUUUUUAGCAUGAGUUAUAUAUGAUUAUGAAACUAUAUAUAUUCCUUGUUCUGAUGUUUCGCUAGUAGUUGAGCGAUAUAGGACAUGGUGGGGAAGGAGAAUAAAGAAGAUGAUUGGAGAGGAGAAUAGUAGAAAAAGAGGAAUUUAUAAAGAAAUAACAGAAUCAGUAGAAAAUAUAGAUGAAAGAAGAAUUAUAGUGGUAGAAGAGAAUGACGAGAGGAAAUCUGAAUAAUUUGUACUGUAUAUAUUUACAUGCACUACAAAUUUAUAUUCUCUUUCAGGUCUUGAGAAUAAAAUUAAUAACUUAAGAUUAUUUUUUAUGAGAGAAAAUGAGUGUUGGAAAGAUAAAUAGAGAU